rnacentral:rRNA from 1 species
CACGUAGGGGGCAAGCGUUGUCCGGAUUUAUUGGGCGUAAAGAGCUCGUAGGCGGCUCAGUAAGUCGGGUGUGAAACCUCCAGGCUCAACCUGGAGACGCCACCUGAUACUGCUGUGGCUAGAGUCCGGUAGGGGAGCGUGGAAUUCCUGGUGUAGCGGUGAAAUGCGCAGAUAUCAGGAGGAACACCAGCGGCGAAGGCGGCGCUCUGGGCAGUAACUGACGCUGAGGAGCGAAAGCGUGGGGAGCGAACAGG